rnacentral:rRNA from 1 species
AUGAACGCUGGCGGCGUGCCUAAUACAUGCAAGUCGAGCGAACGGACGAGAAGCUUGCUUCUCUGAUGUUAGCGGCGGACGGGUGAGUAACACGUGGAUAACCUACCUAUAAGACUGGGAUAACUUCGGGAAACCGGAGCUAAUACCGGAUAAUAUUUUGAACCGCAUGGUUCAAAAGUGAAAGACGGUCUUGCUGUCACUUAUAGAUGGAUCCGCGCUGCAUUAGCUAGUUGGUAAGGUAACGGCUUACCAAGGCAACGAUGCAUAGCCGACCUGAGAGGGUGAUCGGCCACACUGGAACUGAGACACGGUCCAGACUCCUACGGGAGGCAGCAGUAGGGAAUCUUCCGCAAAGGGCGAAAGCCUGACGGAGCAACGCCGCGUGAGUGAUGAAGGUCUUCGGAUCGUAAAGCUCUGUUAUUAGGGAAGAACAGAUGUGUAAGUAACUGUGCACAUCUUGACGGUACCUAAUCAGAAAGCCACGGCUAACUACGUG